rnacentral:rRNA from 1 species
GGUAUUGAAUAAGGUUUUAAUUGAAUGCUAAAAGAAUGGAAUAUCAAAGAAUAACUUUCUUAAAAUUAAAAAUUGAAAUUUUUUUAAUUUGUGUAAAAACAAUUAUAUAAAUUAAAGACAAGAAGACCCUAAGAAUUUUUAAAAUUUAAAUUAACACAUUUUUGUUUUAAUUAAAUUUUAACUGGGGCGGUUAAAAAAUAUUAAAAACUUUUUAAUUUUGAAAAUGACCCAUUAUUAAUGAAAAUAUGAUAAAAUACUCUAGGGAUAACAGCGUUAUAUUUUUUGAUAGAUCAUAUUGACAAAAAAGUUUGCGACCUCGAUGUUGGAUUAGGAUACUUUUUUAAUGAAGAUAU